GAUGAACGCUGGCGGCGCGCUUAACACAUGCAAGUCGAACGAAGCGGCUUUACGGAAGUUUUCGGAUGGAAGUGAGGUUGACUGAGUGGCGGACGGGUGAGUAACGCGUGGGUAACCUGCCUCAUACAGGGGGAUAACAGUUAGAAAUGACUGCUAAUACCGCAUAAGCGCACAGUACCGCAUGGUACAGUGUGAAAAACUCCGGUGGUAUGAGAUGGACCCGCGUCUGAUUAGCUAGUUGGUGAGGUAACGGCCCACCAAGGCGACGAUCAGUAGCCGACCUGAGAGGGUGACCGGCCACAUUGGGACUGAGACACGGCCCAAACUCCUACGGGAGGCAGCAGUGGGGAAUAUUGCACAAUGGGCGAAAGCCUGAUGCAGCGACGCCGCGUGAGCGAAGAAGUAUUUCGGUAUGUAAAGCUCUAUCAGCAGGGAAGAUAAUGACGGUACCUGACUAAGAAGCCCCGGCUAACUACGUGCCAGCAGCCGCGGUAAUAC
rnacentral:rRNA from 1 species